AUUAUGUCGGGCCUUAAAACGGCCAACCUACGCAUACUCGCGCGGUGCAGGCAACUCAGUUGCCUGACAUGGUAACUCCGUCGCCAUCCAUCUUGAGCCGGUGAGAGGAGGAGAGAAACUCACCCCGGGAGCUUCGUGAGUGUUAUGACCAUGGCAGAUUGCUUUAAAAUCCUGAUUGACGACCUUCUUGGGUUUGGACACGGUCUGCUCGGACCAGGAGCCCAGAGUAAAGCUCAGUAGGCAUCGCGCCCAUAGGCCAGUCACUUCACUCAGUGGCUGCUACCGCCGACGCGGUAG